GAUGAAGAACGUAGCGAAAUGCGAUAAGUAGUGUGGAUUGCAGAAUUCAGUGAAUCAUCGAAUCUUUGAACGCACAUUGCGCCCCUUGGUAUCCCGAGGGGCAUGCCUGUUCGAGCGUCAUUUCACCACUCAAGCCUGGCUUGGUGUUGGGCGACGUCCCCUUUGGGGACGCGCCUCGAAACGCUCGGCGGCGUGGCACCGGCUUUAAGCGUAGCAGAAUCUUUCGCUUUGGAAGUCGGGGCCCCGUCUGCCGGAAGACCUACUCGCAAGGUUGACCUCGGAUCAGGCAGGGAUACCCGCUGAACUUAAGCAUAUCAAUAAGCGGAGGA
rnacentral:misc_RNA from 1 species